rnacentral:lncRNA from 1 species
GGGACCAACUUAUCCAUCAGAAAGGAUCUAAAAGAGAGAAAACAGACAAAAGCUCUUAUCUCCUUGACUAGGUUUUCUAUGGCUGACAUUUUGUUGUCUCAGCUUAAUUGACUGGAUUGACCCAUAGCUGUGAUGUCACAAGAGAGUAGUGCCCUCCAGAGGCAGAGGCUGAAGAGUAGCUGUUAUAUCAACAGCAAGGGACCAACUUAUCCACCGGAAAGGAUCCAAAAGAAAGAAACAGACACAAGCUCUUAUCUCCCUGACUAGAUUUUAUGAGGUAACCAUCAAGAUCAAAGUGACAGAAAUGACUCAAAUUCAGAUCUUCUAAUUUUAAAUCCUAUGAUUUUGAAUAAAAAUAUAUUGAACAGAU